rnacentral:rRNA from 13 species
GUGAGGGAAAGGUGAAAAGAACCGCGGAUAGCGGAGUGAAAAGAACCUGAAACCGUGUGCUUACAAGCAGUUAGAGGGGUUUAGUACCCUGAUAGCGUGCCUUUUGCAUAAUGAGCCUACGAGUUACUCCUCCCUGGCAAGGUUAAGUGCAUGGAUGCACGCAGCCGCAGCGAAAGCGAGUCUGAAUAGGGCGCGUAGUCAGGGGGGGUAGACGCGAAACCUAGUGAGCUACCCUUGAGCAGGAUGAAGGAGCGGUAACACGCUGUGGAGGUCCGAAC